AUUUAUACAGAAACAGGCACUACAGAUAGCCUAAAACGAGUGCCACUGUGGUUAGUAAUGUCCUGCUCACUAUUUAUGAGUCAGUAAUGUCCUGCUCACUAUUUAUGAGUCUAUAGCUUCUUACCUAGCCGUUCCUAGACAAUUAUGUGAUGAGUGGAAGCGCAUGUCGAUUGUUUUUUUGUUGUUGCCUGUGAGUCCCGCCUUCCACUCUACUAUUGGUCAAUUCUGAAAAUUCUCGUCUCUGAUUAGAGGGCUAAAUUGUCUAUCAUUAGUGGUGACGUGGAAUACCAGGAAAUGAUAAUUGGGGAAGUGAUGUGUUGGCAUUUUAGGGAGAAUUUGGUGCAAAAUACAGCAACUCUGUCAAUUAUCUCUUACAUGUGUGUGGACUGCAGACAGGCAACCUGAGAAUGCAGAGAUAUCUUGAAUAAGCAACAUUAUUUCGACUUACUGAGUAGGUGAGGAUGGGGAGGAAGGAUGCAAGCGCUACAAUGGCCCCGGUCGAUCAGUACCGUAAACAGAUCGGU